ACGUAGGGUGCGAGCGUUAAUCGGAAUUACUGGGCGUAAAGUGUGCGCAGGCCGCCGAGCAAGUCGAGUGUGAAAGCCCCGAGCUUAACUUGGGAACUGCGCUCGAAACUACUUGGCUAGAGUGUGGCAGAGGGAGGUGGAAUCCCACGUGUAGCGGUGAAAUGCGUAGAUAUCAAGUGGAACACCAGUGGCGAAGGCGAGUCUCUGGACAUUUCCUGACGCUGAGGCACGAAAGCCAGGGGAGCAAACGGGA
rnacentral:rRNA from 1 species